rnacentral:rRNA from 1 species
UGGGGAAUCUUCCGCAAUGGACGAAAGUCUGACGGAGCGACGCCGCGUGAGUGACGAAGGCCCUUGGGUCGUAAAGCUCUGUCAUUGGGGACGAACGGUCACAUCAGGAAAUGGGUGUAAAGUGACGGUACCCGAGAAGGAAGCCACGGCUAACUACGUGCCAGCAGCCGCGGUAAUACGUAGGGGGCGAGCGUUGUCCGGAUUUACUGGGCGUAAAGGGCGUGUAGGCGGUUGGAUAAGUCCGGUGUGAAAUGCUCUGGCUCAACCAGAGCGCUGCGCUGGAUACUGCCUGACUGGAAUUCGGAAGGGGUGACUGGAAUUCCCGGUGUAACGGUGAAAUGUGUAGAUAUCGGGAGGAACACCGGUGGCGAAGGCGACUUUCUGGCCCUAUACUGACGCUGAGACGCGAGAGCGUGGGUAGCAAACAGG